CGAACGCUGGCGGCGUGCUUAACACAUGCAAGUCGAACGCGAACGAGUUCUUCGGAACUUUAGUAGAGUGGCGCACGGGUGAGUAACGCGUAAGUAAUCUACCCUCGCAUCUGGGAUAACCCACCGAAAGGUGUGCUAAUACCGGAUACGUCUAAGUUAAUAUCUUUUUUUUAGAGAAAGGUGGCCUCUGAUUCAAGCUACUGUGCGGGGAGGAGCUUGCGUACCAUUAGCUAGUUGGUAGGGUAACGGCCUACCAAGGCGACGAUGGUUAGCGGGUCUGAGAGGAUGAUCCGCCACACUGGAACUGAAACACGGACCAGACUCCUACGGGAGGCAGCAGUGAGGAAUAUUGCGCAAUGGGGGCAACCCUGACGCAGCGACGCCGCGUGGAUGAUGAAGGCCUUCGGGUUGUAAAAUCCUGUCAGAUGGGAAGAAGUGUGUAGUACUUAAUACGUGCUACAUUUGACGGUACCAUCAAAGGAAGCACCGGCUAACUCC
rnacentral:rRNA from 1 species